CCUACGGGCGGCUGCAGUGGGGAAUAUUGGACAAUGGGCGAAAGCCUGAUCCAGCCAUGCCGCGUGUGUGAAGAAGGCCUUCGGGUUGUAAAGCACUUUCAGUGGGGAAGAAAGCCUUGGGGCUAAUACCCUCGAGGAAGGACAUUACCCACAGAAGAAGCACCGGCUAACUCCGUGCCAGCAGCCGCGGUAAUACGGAGGGUGCGAGCGUUAAUCGGAAUUACUGGGCGUAAAGCGCGCGUAGGCGGUCUGAUAAGCCGGUUGUGAAAGCCCUGGGCUCAACCUGGGAACGGCAUCCGGUACUGUCAGGCUAGAGUGCAGGAGAGGAAGGUAGAAUUCCCGGUGUAGCGGUGAAAUGCGUAGAGAUCGGGAGGAAUACCAGUGGCGAAGGCGGCCUUCUGAACUGACACUGACGCUGAGGUGCGAAAGCGUGGGUAGCAAACAGGAUUAGAUACCCCUGUAGUC
rnacentral:rRNA from 1 species